rnacentral:rRNA from 1 species
UACGAAGGGGGCUAGCGUUGUUCGGAUUUACUGGGCGUAAAGCGCACGUAGGCGGAUUGGUCAGUUAGGGGUGAAAUCCCGGGGCUCAACCUCGGAACUGCCUUUGAUACUGCAAGUCUCGAGUCCGGAAGAGGUGAGUGGAAUUCCCAGUGUAGCGGUGAAAUGCGUAGAUAUUGGGAGGAACACCAGUGGCGAAGGCGGCUCACUGGACCGGUACUGACGCUGAUGCGCGAAAGCGUGGGGAGCAAACGGG